AUUGAACGCUGGCGGCAGGCCUAACACAUGCAAGUCGAACGAGUGGCGGACGGGUGAGUAAUGUCUGAUAAACUGCCUGAUGGAGGGGGCUAACUACUGGAAACGGUAGCUAAUACCGCAUACUAUCUGUUGUGGCCAGAUGGGAUUGGCUAGUAGGUGUGGUAAAGGCUCACCUGGGCGACGAUCCCUAGCUGGUCGGAGAGGAUGACCAGCCACACGGGACCUGAGACACGGUCCAGACUCCUAGGGGAGGCAGCAGUGGGGAAUAUUGCACAAUGGGCGCAAGCCUGAUGCAGCCAUGCCGCGUGUAUGAAGAAGGCCUUCGGGUUGUAAAGUACUUUCAGCGGGGAGGCGUUACCCGCAGAAGAAGCACCGGCUAACUCCGUGCCAGCAGCCGCGGUAAUUC
rnacentral:rRNA from 1 species